rnacentral:rRNA from 1 species
GACGAACGCUGGCGGCGUGCUUAACACACGCAAGUCGAACGGUGAAGCGCCUUCCUUUUUGGUGGGUGUGGAUGAGUGGCGAACGGGUGAGUAACACGUGAGUAACCUGCCCCCUUCUUCUGGAUAACCGCAUGAAAGUGUGGCUAAUACGGGAUAUUCUGGGUCUGUCGCAUGAUGGGUCUGGGAAAGAUAUUGUUUCGGUGGGGGAUGGGCUCGCGGCCUAUCAGCUUGUUGGUGGGGUGAUGGCCUACCAAGGCGGUGACGGGUAGCCGGCCUGAGAGGGUGGACGGUCACACUGGGACUGAGACACGGCCCAGACUCCUACGGGAGGCAGCAGUGGGGAAUAGUGCACAAUGGGCGCAAGCCUGAUGCAGCGACGCCGCGGGAGGGAUGGAGGCCUUCGGGUUGUGAACCUCUUUCGCCAGUGAAGCAGGCCUGCCUCGUUUGUGGGUGGGUUGACGGUAGCUGGAUAAGAAGCGCCGGCUAACUACGUG